rnacentral:rRNA from 1 species
GCGGCGCAGGCAGAAAUGUCUGUUCUUUUCGGAGCGCUGGAGACAGGUGGUGCAUGGUUGUCGUCAGCUCGUGUCGUGAGAUGUUGGGUUAAGUCCCGCAACGAGCGCAACCCUUAUUCUUAGUAGCCAGCAGGUAAAGCUGGGCACUCUAGGGAGACUGCCAGGGAUAACCUGGAGGAAGGUGGGGAUGACGUCAAAUCAUCAUGCCCCUUAUGAUUUGGGCUACACACGUGCUACAAUGGCGUAAACAAAGGGAGGCGAAGCCGCGAGGUAGAGCGAACCCCAAAAUAACGUCUCAGUUCGGAUUGCAGGCUGCAACUCGCCUGCAUGAAGCCGGAAUCGCUAGUAAUCGCAGAUCAGCAUGCUGCGGUGAAUACGUUCCCGGGUCUUGUACACACCGCCCGUCACACCAUGGGAGUCGAUAACGCCCGAAGUCAGUGACCCAACCGUAAGGAGGGAGCUGCCGAAGGCGGGAUUGAUAACUGGGGUGAAGUCGUAACAAGGUAGCCGUAUCGGAAGGUGCGGCUGGAUCACCUC